rnacentral:lncRNA from 1 species
ACAAACAAUAUCUUCAGUUGUUUUCAGAUCUUCAAUAAGGAUCAUCAAGCCCUCUGUUUUUUAUAUGAAGAAUAGAUAUUGUAAUUGUGCCUCCAUUACGUCUAAAAGUCAGGUAUCGGAAAACUGUCAUUGGCAUAUCUCUGUCAUGAUGGAAGAUUGGUUAGACAGAAAAAGGACCUCUGGUUAUGUAUGACAUGAUGCGAGGCACAUAUCUCUGAAUGAAGCGCAACAAGAAUUGACAUCCUCUAAUGCUAACUGUUGACCAUUCUUCUCUGAAGUAUCAGGUCAGUAUCCCAUGUGCCCCCUAUUCAUCUGUCAUCGCUGCAUAAAAAUUUAAUGCAGUUUUUAAGCCUAUGUUUAAGGAUAGCUAAAUCUCUAUGGACCAACCAUAUUAUCUUUUUGAGAUAAUAAAUCAACCUUCAUCAUGUACUUAUGUUGUAACUUCUCCCAUCUUUUGUGCUAUUAUCUAAAAGAGGUGUGGAUUGGAAUCAGUUUUUUUGCUGCACCCCCAUUCCGACAAGGUCACGCACACAUACCACCGGGAAUCCCACGAACCCUAUGUUCGAGCGCGAGCGACGGCAAUAGCAUCUGCAAGUACUUGACCAACACGCUACCCAGGUGUGGUAUCCACUAUUGAGGCCAAGCAACCUAGCUCGGUCAUCCUUAAGUGUGCUUGUGUCCACCACCUGAUGAAGAACGGGAGAAGAUUGCUGACUUUGUGCCUAAUGAUGGUUGCCUGAACUUCGUAGAGCAAAUUGACGAGGUGUUGAUUGCUGAAUUUGGUCUUAAGAGGCACGUCGUGGGAGAUAUCCCUUGUGGCAGGUUCAAAGUUGUGAUGGUAUCUGGUGUCUCCCAGCGAGAUUUGUUCCUUCUCUUAACAGUUACUAUUAAGGUAUAACAGUGAUGUGCUACUCUGCUGGUCCUUUAGAUGUCAAAAAGAUUAUGUGUUGUGCUAGCUAGCGACUUUUAUCUCCCCGUGGAUGCAGAUUUCAGAAUAUGUUUAGUUACGACGUACCACAAAGCUGAUCUUUUUAACAUUUGAUUGUCGUGCUUAAUACCACAGUUAGGUAGUUUGACUCUUAGACACUGGUCUUUUUAAUAUCAGACUUAAACAACUACAGUUCUAAAUAGCAGUAGUUCUUCUGAAUUUCUACCUAUUUAUUUCACUAUUGUGGUUUCAAAAUCCAAUAGCCUUGCUGUUAGUUAAUGCUCUAUUUAUAUUUUUUGCCAACAGAACAAAUUUAUGUUUCCAGCAAAAAAGUUGGCCGGCCCCAGCAAAAAAAAAAGAACAGUUCCAGCAAAAAAAGAUCGCCGUCGUGGUCACAGGUACUAAAUGGUUCCACUGUACAUCUCUGUAGUUAUUUGGUUGAAGGUGCGCAUUAGUGGUUAGCUGUGAUAAUACAAAUAGUAAACAUGUUAUACCAGGUAACAGAACUUCACGAAAAUUUGCUGAAGGAGCUGCAUCAUCCUUGAUCAAAUAUUAUUUUUAUUAUUCCUUGUUGGUUUUAGACAAUAACAUUAGAGAAUCUAAAUCCUUUUACCGCGCAUCAGUACAUGUAAUAGAGCAACUCUUGGUGCAACUAGCUGCAGCAAAGACCAACUUGACUUGAUGGUAUUUUUGAUCUGUUCACCUACCCUCCCUCGCUCAAUUUUCUUGGGCAAAAACACCCGCCCCACGAAGCCAUCUCCGUGUCGCAUACCUAUUGCCACAACCAACUAAGCUAGCCCAGUGUUUUUUGUGGAAAUGAUGGUUGUUCCUUCUAUUAAAUAGUCCCACCUCGCCCCUUUACACCCAAUCCUCUUAAUUUCCUUAUGCCUUUGAAUUUCCUAGGUGUCAACAAGCAGUCUUCGGAAUCAUCAAUAAGCCAACAGCGAGAAAUAAGUUUAAGAAUUGAGUUCCCUUAACAGGGAAAUAAGGAAGGGAAGAAACAAAUAGGGAACAAUCAGAUGAAGCAUCAAGGAAAAUGGAUUGAACAAUCAGAUGAAGCAUCCAGCUCGAGGAGAAGCAUGGUCUGCAAGGAGACCAAUCAUCUUGAGGUGGUUCUUUCAGCUACUGCAUGUUCCAUUACGGAGAAGGGUACUUAGUCGAUCUUAGGAGCCAGACUCUGCUCUCCUUGCAGGGAGAAUUUCAACAAAUGGUACUAUUACUCUCCCAACAAUUCUUUUAUCACUACAAAAUGUGUAGGAACCUUAUUUUUCCCUGAGAUACUGUAAUUGAGGAACCGAGAGCCGCGACGGAACAUUGUAUUUUGCACUACAUCCUGUAUUUGCUUUGUGGGAAGCUGGCUUGAGGACAAAUAUGUCAGCUCCAUUUUCGUUGUGAGUGAUUCUUCAUAUGACGGUAGUGUUGCUUGUGUUCAUAAUCAGUCUCUAUGUAAUGUUUCGGCAGAGAGAGUUGUAACGCCUCAGUCUUCU